UGGUGGGGGAUCGGGCAUUUCUGGAGAGCAACAAAUGGGUUAUAUUAUUUCAUGGUGGAUCGGCGAAUUAUUGG
rnacentral:tRNA from 1 species